rnacentral:rRNA from 1 species
CCUACGGGAGGCAGCAGUGAGGAAUAUUGGUCAAUGGACGUAAGCCUGAACCAGCCAAGUCGCGUGAGGGAUGACUGCUCUAUGGGUCGUAAACCUCUUUUAUAUGGGAAUAAAGUGUUCCACGUGUGGGAUUUUGUAUGUACCAUAUGAAUAAGGAUCGGCUAACUCCGUGCCAGCAGCCGCGGUAAUACGGAGGAUGCGAGCGUUAUCCGGAUUUAUUGGGUUUAAAGGGUGCGUAGGUGGUCAUUUAAGUCAGCGGUGAAAGUUUGUGGCUCAACCAUAGAAUUGCCGUUGAAACUGGGUGGCUUGAGUAUAUUUGAGGUAGGCGGAAUGCGUGGUGUAGCGGUGAAAUGCUUAGAUAUCACGCAGAACUCCGAUUGCGAAGGCAGCUUACUAAGCUAUGACUGACACUGAAGCACGAAAGCGUGGGGAUCAAACAGGAUUAGAUACCCGAGUAGUC